UUUCGAAGAAAAAUGUGUUCGUUAAUACACAUACAAAUUAUAUAAAAAAAAGGGAUUUGGGCCAAGGGUGACCGAAUGGGCCUCUUGGAAUAAAAGAUGUUGGUUCCUGGGCGGGUCAGACCUGACCCAACUUUGAUAUUACUAAAACCUUGAAAGAAAACCCUAAAAAACACAUCCAAAACGGCCGCUUAAAAAAAGUCUCAGAAGAAGAAACAAAAAAC
rnacentral:lncRNA from 1 species